rnacentral:rRNA from 1 species
UACAGAGGUCCCAAGCGUUGUUCGGAUUCACUGGGCGUAAAGGGUGCGUAGGUGGUCAGGUAAGUCGGAUGUGAAAUCUCCGAGCUCAACUCGGAAACUGCAUUGGAAACUACCUGGCUCGAGGGUUGGAGGGGGGACUGGAAUGCUUGGUGUAGCAGUGAAAUGCGUAGAUAUCAAGCGGAACACCAGUGGCGAAGGCGAGUCCCUGGACAACUCCUGACACUGAUGCACGAAAGCGUGGGGAUCAAACAGG